rnacentral:rRNA from 1 species
AUUCCAGCUUCAGUAGCGUAUAUUAAAGUUGUUGCAGUUAAAAAGCUCGUAGUCGCAUUUCUGGCGAGAGGAAUUGGUCCGACAUUUAUUGUGGGUACUCGAUUCUCUCUCGCCAUCCUUGAGUGGUCCGUUCUGGCAUUUAGUUGUCGGAGCGUCAGCCGCUCAUCGUUUACUGUGAGAAAAUAGAGUGUUCAAAGCAGGCUUAUGCCGUUGAAUAUAUUAGCAUGGAAUAAUAAGAUAGGACCUCGGUGCUAUUUUGUUGGUUUGCGCACAGAGGUAAUGAUGAACAGGGACAGUUGGGGGUAUUUGUAUUUCGUUGUCAGAGGUGAAAUUCUUAGAUUUACGAAAGACAAACUACUGCGAAAGCAUUUACCAAGGAUGUUUUCAUUG